rnacentral:rRNA from 1 species
GAAUCCGGUUGAUCCUGCCGGACCUGACUGCUAUCGGAUUGGUACUAAGCCAUGCGAGUCAUUGCAGCAAUGCAAGGCGGACGGCUCAGUAACACGUAGUCAAUCUACCUUAUGGACGUGGAUAACCUCGGGAAACUGAGAAUAAACCACGAUAGAUCAUUAUGCCUGGAAUGGCUUAUGGUCGAAACAGUUUACUGCCAUAGGAUGGGACUGCGGCCUAUCAGCUUGUUGGUGAGGUAAUGGCUCACCAAGGCUAUAACAGGUACGGGCUCUGAGAGGAGAAGCCCGGAGAUGGGUACUGAGACACGGACCCAGGCCCUAUGGGGCGCAGCAGGCGAGAAACCUUAGCAAUGUGCGAAAGCACGACUGGGUCAGUCCGAGUGAUUCCUGCUAAAGGAAUCUUUUGCUUGUCCUAAAAGCACAGGUGAAUAAGGGGUGGGCAAGUCUGGUGUCAGCCGCCGCGGUAAUACCAGCACCUCGAGUGGUCAGGACGUUUAUUGGGCCUAAAGCAUCCGUAGCCGGCUUUGCAAGUCUCCGGUUAAAUCCACCUGCUUAACAGAUGGGCCGCUGGAGAUACUACAAAGCUAGGGAGUGGGAGAGGCGGACGGUAUUCGGGGGGUAGGGGUAAAAUCCUCUGAUCCUCCGAGGACCACCAGUGGCGAAGGCGGUCUGCCAGAACACGUUCGACGGUGAGGGAUGAAAGCUGGGGGAGCAAACCGGAUUAGAUACCCGGGUAGUCCC